GGUUGGUUUAAUUUCUGUAUUUUAGAAAUUCAAAAGUGUUAAUUUUGACUUACGUCCCAUCUAGAUGGUGUUGCAGGUGGCGACCAGACAAAAGUAAAAACAGAAGAGACGGAAACGUACAUGUCCAUACUUUGCUCACCAUUACCACCGCACUUGUCUCCAUCUUCUUCAGUUCAUGCUCUGACACCUACUGAUAUCGCCACUGUUUAUGCCUUGGGAAUACCAGAUUCAAACAGGUAUAUUGCAAAACAAACAAACAAAGAAAAAACAAUGCACAAAUCUAUGUAA
rnacentral:lncRNA from 1 species